CUAGCCAGCGGAACUGCCUCAGCUCCGCGGCGUUUCGUAAUCCGCGAUGCGACGGCUACUUCCGCCCGGGCACGUGCUCCGCCUUCUUCCCGCCCCCACCAGUGAUAUCCAAUGAGAGUGCCGCUUGGCCCGUCCUGGUUUACCCGACUCAACCUGAUAGGCCGAAACUGCGGGCGAACCAGGAAAGGGAGGCGUGGUUCGGCGGGAAUCCAUUCCAGGUUGACUCCACCAGCGAGAAUCACAGAUCGCGAUUCGUCCCCUCGCCCUGCAGGCGCCGCUGCCGCCUCGCCUCGGGCGUGGACCCUGCGGCUCGGGCCUGCGCGUGUGCACCCCGAGGUUGUCUCACUUCCUGUUCAGGGCGACCAGCGCUGCGCCCUCCCCACUCCACAGAUGAGGAAGCUGAGGUUAAAGUCACUUGCCCCAGGUCACUCCGCAAGUUGAAGCGCAACCAGGAUACUCUGGAACAGGAUGCCUGACUUCAGAGGAGAGGCGCGUAACCACCAGGCAACUGGCCCCACGAAAACAAGUCCCGCAACUUCCCUUCUUUGGCUCCUACUUGCUCCCGGAAGAAAAGCCUUAAACGGUAUUCAAGCCCUUUAGGAUCUGAUGUCCUAGGACUCCACUCUGGGCUUCCAGCCUGGGGUGGUACUGGUCCCUAGGCAUGGAAGCUCCUCCCACUGCCCCUUCCUUCACCCGGCCACCUCCUCCCACAGGUGUCUUCCUGGUACUCUUGCACAGGCCCGAGUCCCUUACCACCACGGCCUUAGCCUGCUCUCGUGCUCUCAGUAAUGUUUUCUCCAUUUGCUGCCUUUCAUUCUUUCCAGAGAUUCUUGCUCAACCCAACCAGGCCAGCCCGGGGACUAGGGACAUGUAGGGACAAUAGUCCCUGCUUCAGGCAGUUCAGGGCAGACCACAGAGAUGUGACAUUACAGACCAUUGUGAGCAGAGGCCUUGUCCCAUUCUGUGUUGCAUCCCUAAGCCAGGAACAAAGUCCAGCCCAGGCCUGGCUCCAGGGGACACGCAGUAGUAUCCUCUGGCCUGUGCAAGUGUAUCUGUAGCCUCACAUGCCACCAUGUGAGUCUGCAAUCUGUCUGUGAAUGCCCUGGUGUAGAAGCCAGGAGUUUGGAGGUGGGAGGGAGCCCUACAGAAUGAUAGCCAGUGCUAACUCCUGGGAAUGUCCAGCCACUAAGACCUGCCCACAGCCCUGCCAUGCCAAUGUCCUCCUUUUCACGGGAGCAGCUUGCACAGACUUUCAGCGCACAGCUGGCAUUGUCUUCCCAGGAGCCAUCCUGUAACCCAGGCCAGGUGAAGGGCUCCUCCCUGGGACCCCACAGCCCCGUUCCCAUCAUCCUUUUGUGGUGAUCAAGGCACCCAUCACACAGUAUUGCCAUAAACCGGGUCAGGUUAACCUUUCAUUCCCUUAGGAGCUGGGUGGGGGCAGCCAAAAGUAUUUGUAGGAGGAAGAGAGAAAGGAGGGGACAGAGCUAGGAAGAAUGGGAGGACGGUCAGAACGCCCCUGUGAAGGAAGGAGAGCACCAAGUCCCCGUGUUCUGCCUACCCUCCCCCAGACAGCAGAUCAGGAGCACCCCGCGCGCCCCCCCCCGCCCCGCCCCGCGUCGGCGCCGGCCCCCUGCAAUGGUUGGCGGUAUGGGGAGGUGAACCAAGAAGGCCAGGAGUUCAAGUGCGUGAUCCCCCACUGGGGCAUAUAGGUUACAGCCGCCAGGGCAACUGAAACUCCUCAGGCUCCAGAGGGCUGAAGUGAGUCGCCUC
rnacentral:lncRNA from 1 species